AUGGAAGGCCCCUUCCCAUUGCUUGUGCAUGAUCUUGGGAACCGUACAGAUGACUGCCAGACGCGGUUCAGCAUCUCCAACCAGGCCCUGAACACCGCAGCAAUCCAUGAACUCAAGGACUACAGGUGCUUCGAGUCUCCACAGGGCUGGGUGCUCGCGCUGGACCCUGCUUCCCUGCACACGUUCCUUUGGCGACCUCAGGACGGCCAAAGGAUCAGCCUUCCAUCCCCCAACCACGAUUUCCCCAGGAGGUGCAAGUGCCUGCUCUCUGACAAGCCUAAUGCCACAUCUUGCACCGUUCUGGUACUUGAUCUUGACAAGUCUAAUCUGUUGGUGUGCCGAAUCGGAGGAAGCCAAUGGGACUCUUACAACUACGAGCUCACCAUGUUCCUCGCAGAUGACAAUCCCAGGCAGAUACAUAUGGCCAAACUUAAAGGUAUUGCUGCUGUUGGGGGAAAGGUCUACUACACGUUCACGGGACACGCCCUCGGAGUGGUGGAGUUUAGCCCUGAGCUCAGCCUCACCGAGUUUGAAGUUGAUAUGGUUGAACUGCCCGCCACCAUGCCGUUUUCUUCCACUUACUUGGUUGAAUCAUGUGGUGACCUCUUUAUGGUGUUCGUUCUCUUUCUUGGACACAACGUGCACAAAAUCGACAAGGUCAACGUGUAUAAGAUGGAUUUCUCGACGCCAGAAUGGUGCAAGGUGGACAUGAUUGGUGAUAGGGUGUUCCUCUUGGGUGGAGACAGUAUCGGAGCUUCCAACUUUGGAGCGUCAUGUUCGGCCAGUGAACAUGGUUUGUCUAGCAACUGUAUCUACUUUCUGAACAACAUCGCUGCCGAGGAGAAUUACCUGCACGUUUUCAACCUGGAGAAAGGGACUGAAGAAGUGCAACGUCCUUUUAGACAUAAAAAUGGUUGUGCGCUGCCACCGCCACGUCCACCCAUAUGGCUGUUACCCACAGACGACUGA
rnacentral:rRNA from 1 species